rnacentral:lncRNA from 1 species
AUAUCCUCUCGAGAACCCAUUUCAUGCCAGAUAUGUAAAUGUAUGCGAAUUUUGCUUUUUACCGUUUUUUAAUUUACCCAUAGUACUUCAGAAUAGUAAAAGGAACCAAACUUACCUAGGAAAUAUUCUAGGGAUCCUUAAAGAAAAAAAUCAAUUCAUGACAUCAGCUGCCGAGAUGUUAACCAAAGAAGCAUGGCAAAUGGCUAACCUCCUCGACUUAAGUGAUGAAUCUCCAUGAUUUACAACAACUUUUCCUCAAGAAUAAGGUGUUUUCCUGGGUCAACACUGAACACAUCCACGAAAUUGAACAUCGAGUUUGAGAGAUACGUCAAGAGGUUAAAAUUGCUCAACACCUGCUAUUGUGAUGUUGUGUCGAGCAGCUGAGGAGGAAUUCACUGACGUUACGCGGCGUUUAGACAGGU